rnacentral:rRNA from 1 species
UUGAACGCUGGCGGAAUGCUUUACACAUGCAAGUCGAGCGGCAGCGCGGGGGCAACCUUGGCGGCGAGCGGCGAACGGGUGAGUAACAUAUCGGAACGUACCCAGACGUGGGGGACAACUAGUCGAAAGACUAGCUAAUACCGCAUACGUCCUGAGGGAGAAAGCGGGGGAUCGCAAGACCUCGCGCGUUUGGAGCGGCCGAUAUCUGAUUAGCUAGAUGGUGGGGUAAAGGCUCACCAUGGCGACGAUCAGUAGCUGGUCUGAGAGGAUGAUCAGCCACACUGGAACUGAGACACGGUCCAGACUCCUACGGGAGGCAGCAGUGGGGAAUUUUGGACAAUGGGCGCAAGCCUGAUCCAGCCAUUCCGCGUGAGUGAAGAAGGCCUUCGGGUUGUAAAGCUCUUUCGGCCGGGACGAAAUCGCACGGGUCAAUACCCUGUGUGGAUGACGGUACUGGAAGAAGAAGCACCGGCUAACUACGU